UACGAAGGGGGCUAGCGUUGCUCGGAAUCACUGGGCGUAAAGGGUGCGUAGGCGGGGCUUUAAGUCAGGGGGGAAAUCCUGGAGCUCAACUCCAGAACUGCCUUUGAUACUGAGGAUCUUGAGUUCGGGAGAGGUGAGUAGAACUGCGAGUGUAGAGGUGAAAUUCGUAGAUAUUCGCAAGAACACCAGUGGCGAAGUCGGCUCACUGGCCCGAUACUGACGCUGAGGCACGAAAGCGUGGGGAGCAAACAGG
rnacentral:rRNA from 1 species